rnacentral:rRNA from 1 species
AACCAGACUCCUACGGGAGGCAGCAGUGGGGAAUAUUGCACAAUGGGGGAAACCCUGAUGCAGCGACGCCGCGUGAGCGAAGAAGUACCUCGGUAUGUAAAGCUCUAUCAGCAGGGAAGAAGAUGACGGUACCUGACCAAGAAGCUCCGGCUAAAUACGUGCCAGCAGCCGCGGUAAUACGUAUGGAGCAAGCGUUAUCCGGAUUUACUGGGUGUAAAGGGAGCGCAGGCGGCCUUGCAAGUCUGAUGUGAAAGGCCGGGGCCCAACCCCGGGACUGCUCUUGGAACUGCGCGGCUGGAGUGCAGGAGGGGCCGGCGGAAUUCCUGGUGUAGCGGUGAAAUGCGUAGAUAUCAGGAGGAACACCGGUGGCGAAGGCAGCAUACCGGCGCCCAACUGACGCUGAAGCACGAAAGCGUGGGUAUCGAACAGGAUUAGAUACCCGAGUA